AUUGAACGCUGGCGGCAGGCCUAACACAUGCAAGUCGAGCGGUAGAGGGGAGCUUGCUUCCCUUGAGAGCGGCGGACGGGUGAGUAAUGCCUAGGAAUCUGCCUGGUAGUGGGGGAUAACGUCCGGAAACGGACGCUAAUACCGCAUACGUCCUACGGGAGAAAGUGGGGGCUCUUCGGACCUCACGCUAUCAGAUGAGCCUAGGUCGGAUUAGCUAGUUGGUGUGGUAAUGGCGCACCAAGGCGACGAUCCGUAACUGGUCUGAGAGGAUGAUCAGUCACACUGGAACUGAGACACGGUCCAGACUCCUACGGGAGGCAGCAGUGGGGAAUAUUGGACAAUGGGCGAAAGCCUGAUCCAGCCAUGCCGCGUGUGUGAAGAAGGUCUUCGGAUUGUAAAGCACUUUAAGUUGGGAGGAAGGGUCGUUACCUAAUACGUGACGAUUUUGACGUUACCGACAGAAUAAGCACCGGCUAACUCUGUGCCAGCCGCCGCUGUAAGAC
rnacentral:rRNA from 1 species